GCCCCAGUGUGGUAAAGGAUAUCCGCUGGGCCUGCGGAGCCCAGCAUUCGGGUUCGAUUCCCGACUGGGGCA
rnacentral:tRNA from 1 species